UACAGCAGGACUUGUGUUCCGGAAAUACUCGCAAGACAAGGAUGCGAUGUGACGGUUCUUCUUGAGCGGUUCUUCAAGGACAUCAACGCUGAUUGUGGAACAUCGAAGCCAGUCUGCUUGGAGUGCAAUCAGAAAGCAAUAUCCGAUGCGGAAGAUGUGUGCUUGAGGAAAUACGUACAGGAACACGGCAUCAUUUCUAGAGGCCUGUUGUCCAGCAAUGAAAAACGACUGUGCUGCAUGUUGGACUACAAGAAGAGUUGUGUUCCAGACCAAUUAAAA